AAACUCGGUGGUAUACGAUGGUUCCGCGUCUGAUUAGCUUGUUGGCGGGGUAAUGGCUCACCAAGGCGACGAUCAGUAGCCGGCCUGAGAGGGUGAACGGCCACAUUGGGACUGAGACACGGCCCAAACUCCUACGGGAGGCAGCAG
rnacentral:rRNA from 1 species